UGCCAGUCCCCGUGUUUUCGUAUCAGCGGAAACAUAGCGACCGCGCCUGUGCCUGGCUCUCCAUGCCUGGACGACGCGACCAUAGCAAACGCCUUACGAAUGAAUCGGAUACUCGUGAACAGACAGUAAGUGCUUCGAGAGACGCUGUGCGCACACUUCUCGCUGCCGAAAGCCGUCUCGUCCAGGAUGCAUUGAAGCGGACACACACAGCCUGCAGCGAAGAACAACGCGACGGACAUUGCUCUACUCCACUUGGCAUCCUCUUAGACCCCCUCGUGAGCCUUGGCCGACGCCUGGCAAUGCUGGUUGGCUGCACUCGUAUCUGACGAGCCCGGCGACGUUUUGCUGCAGCGGUAGCCUUGAGUGCCAGCAUCAGCGCAGUUCCAUCUGUGCUGUUUUGCACACGAGCCAGCUCCUCUCCAAGGCCCUUCAGGAUCUCGAGGCUGACCACCAAAACAGUGUGAAUCUGGGUCCUUAAGGAGCUUGAACACCAUCAGGUGCCAAUGCUCUGCUCAUUGUGGACAAGUACUGCGACGAGGACAGCACCUGCCUUCGUGCAAUAUUUCUGUGUGCUUCUUCAUUGUGACUAAUGUGAAACUAUUGUGCAAUUUAACCUUUGUUUACUUCAAUAAAAUAAUAAAUGAACCCAACAAUUACAAGAGCAAGCUUGGAAGUGUUGAGACUUCAUAUUACUUUGACUAAAAAGUAAGAAAAAUAUAAUUUUUUUAAUGCAGGAAGUUUUUGCUUUUGUUUAUUCCAAAACAGGCCAACUGCAUCUCUUAAAGGCCAACUCCGGCGAUGUUUUGGCCAUGUCAAAGUAAUGGUGCUUUUAUGUUCCUGAGACGCUCCUUACGGGCCCGAUAGCAG
rnacentral:lncRNA from 1 species